CCUACGGGAGGCAGCAGUGGGGAAUAUUGGACAAUGGGGGGAACCCUGAUCCAGCCAUGCCGCGUGUGUGAAGAAGGCCCUCGGGUUAUAAAGCACUUUCAGUGAGGAAGAACGCCUGGUGGUUAAUACCCAUCAGGAAAGACAUCACUCACAGAAGAAGCACCGGCUAACUCCGUGCCAGCAGCCGCGGUAAUACGGAGGGUGCGAGCGUUAAUCGGAAUUACUGGGCGUAAAGCGCGCGUAGGUGGCUUGAUAAGCCGGUUGUGAAAGCCCCGGGCUCAACCUGGGAACGGCAUCCGGAACUGUCAAGCUAGAGUGCAGGAGAGGAAGGUAGAAUUCCCGGUGUAGCGGUGAAAUGCGUAGAGAUCGGGAGGAAUACCAGUGGCGAAGGCGGCCUUCUGGACUGACACUGACACUGAGGUGCGAAAGCGUGGGUAGCAAACAGGAUUAGAUACCCUAGUAGUC
rnacentral:rRNA from 1 species